GAUGAAGAACGCAGCGAAAUGCGAUACGUAAUGUGAAUUGCAGAAUUCAGUGAAUCAUCGAAUCUUUGAACGCAUAUUGCGCUCUCUGGUAUUCCGGAGAGCGUGCUUGUUUGAGUAUCAGUAAACACCUCAACUUCCAUAUCUUUUUUUGAAAUGGGAGUUGGACUUGAGUGAUCCCAACGCUUUUCCUCACCGAAAAGUGGCGGGUUACUUGAAAUGCAGGUGCAGCUGGACUUUUCUCUGAGCUAUAAGCAUAUCUAUUUAGUCUGCCUAAAAAACAGAUUAUUACCUUUGCUGCAGCUAACAUAAAGGAGAUUAGUUCUUGUGCUGACUGAUGCAGGAUUCACAAAGACAGCUUCGGCCGACUUUGUAAACUCGAUCUCAAAUCAAGUAAGACUACCCGCUGAACUUAAGCAUAUCAAUAAGCGGAGGA
rnacentral:misc_RNA from 1 species